ACGAAUUAUAUUGGAGUUGUGCUGGUUCUUACAAGUGCACACUCCUUACAAUUCCAUUCACACCCUUGUGCACUCUAAGAGACGUAUCUCCCCCGUUUACGUGCCUUCAUUGGCUUGGGAUUUCGUCUGUUUAACACACUCUUAUUGUAAUAGAAUGUAAUCUGACCGAAAGGUCUAAAACUUAAAUA
rnacentral:misc_RNA from 1 species